rnacentral:lncRNA from 1 species
GAACGUGACACAUCCUUGUCAGGGAGACAACUGUUAGAGCAAAAGAAAUACGGAAGUACGAACUGUGUUUUGACAGGAGGAAGUAGGGCCGUUUGUCUGUAGUUGAGGAGUGUGUUUAGAGAAGUAGGAAAAACAUAGGUUAGAAACUCAGGAUGGAAUCAAAUAAUGGAGGACUUAUGCCAGACCAGGUUGGGCUAUGAAUGCAUUUGAGAAUGGGAGUGGUGGUGAUAAAGGUGGUGGACACGCACCAGGGAGCGAUGAGGAUGAGAAGGGUUGAGGGACUGCUGCAGAGACUACGUGAUAGGGGCCUGAACAGGGAUGUUGAGGGCGGGAGGAAGAAGAGAUGCAGAUGUGAGAAAGAUUGGGAAGGGAAGAAAGGCAGCGCCAGUCAAGUAAUGAGAUGGUGGUAGGGUUUUGUAGAGUGGUAGAGACUUGAAAAGAUGCUAGAACAUCAUUUUAUGAGACAAUAACAUAUUUCUAGGAGGGCGUAUUUGCAGUGAUGUACUGCACAUGCCCUGUGCUUUAGCCUUAGCGGAAGUCAUGCCACACUUCCUUGAUUAUACCAGGACACCCAAAUCUGUGCAUUGACAGCUCUCUCCGUCUGAAAUAUCCCUCUGUUUCUGCUUUGCCUGGUAAACUUCUAUUCAGGCUCAUCAGCAUACCAGGGCAGAGUUAGGGUGCUCUAAUCCCUGAACUGUGAGAGUUUUCCUUACAUUAUCUCCAAAUAAUUAUUAUAAAAAUUAUUUGACCACAGAUUUCCUAUUUUAAAAAUCCUUGAUGCUAAAUGAAGAUCUUUCAAAUGGAUUACACAGAAUGUCAUGCUUGGUAAGAUAAGAGAACAGCAGACUUUAGCUUUCUGGCUCACUGAUUAACCAAAUAUUUAAACAUGAAUACAAUUUAUAAUUCUUCAAUUCCAUACAGUUUUUACCAAAUUAUAAUGUAACCCCAAUGUGAUAUUUUUCUUUUCAUUACUUCUAAGAAAUGCAAACAUUUUUAUAGAUUGUUCAUGAAAUUAUAUCUCAUAAUUGGCCGCUAAGUUCUAAAUAUGUAGUUCUUUUAGACUGAGAAGGAUGAAGGAGGACUGAAGAGAGAACUAAUUUUUACAGUGUCUGUGUGCUGGACACAGUGUGAGGGAGGCCAUCCUGAGAGUUUGGUGUUGAGAUUCCCAUUAUAGAGAUGAAGAAGCCGAGGCUCAGUAAAGUACAAUUUCAAGGUUGUGUAGGUUGGGUGCAAGUUACUUUUUUCACAUUUUCUUAAUGUUUCCUCAACACCCAUUCUUAAUUCAGUUGGGGAAGGGUAAACCAAAAUGGGGAGGAAUUAGUGGGAAUCAAAAUUCAGGUUAUACUCUGAUGCAUUUUGAACAUAUUAAAUUAAUCCUUAGUAUUCUCCUCAGGAAACUUUAAUGAUACAGGGAAUAGACUAAGGACUUCUUUUGGGGAUACAUGAAACAAAUUUUUACCUACUGUGUAUAUAUUUGGUUAUGGCUUUUAAAAGUAGUUGGGGAAAACAGGUCAUUUUGACGGUUAAACAGUGUCACAUAAAAGAAAAAGCGCUAUGCUGCUGAUCUCUAAAAAGCCAUUUAACCUCUCUGAGUUUUAUCAAUUUCCUUGUCAGUUUCUUCGUCAAUAAAUUGGAAAAACAACAUCUUCCUUUCUUGUCAAAGUCAAUAGAGACUCAAUGAAAUCAUGAAUAUGGAAGUGUUUGGGAAACUGCCAGAACAUUAACCUUAAAUGUAAAGUGUAGCAGCUGGUGGACAUGGAACUAAAUUUAAUUUUGUCUACUUAUAUGUCAAAGUUGUGCUGACUAUUAAAAACACUGUGAUUUUAGUAUUUUCCUUCCACUUAAAUGUAGUUUUUAAAUGGCUAUUUUAAAAUGUUCAAUGUGCAUUUUAAAUUACCAUUUACAAUGGUGUUCUUUGAUUAAUUUACACUGGUUUUUCUUUGUCAUAAAGAGAAUUACUUAAAAACUCAGCAAGUCAGUACAUCAUGGUAGUAACAAAGGCAUAAAUCUAAGAAUUUAUUGUGCUACAUUCUGCAAAGGUAAAUAUAAUUUAUUGUAAAAUAAUAUUGAGAUAUAA